CCGCCCGCUCUCAGCCGCUCACCUACUACAUCCAUUUCGGCUCCUACACCUCAGGACAAACCAACCACCUUUCCUGGAUAUCCUCAGCUCACCCGGACCAGACAACCCUCCCGGUGCAUUUAGUACUGCCAAGAAACAAAACCUCCUCCUGGAGUCCUGCUGCCAGUCCUGCAUCUCGUCGAGUCCCGAACCUCUGUUGCUCAUUAUUUCCAAAAAUAAAACCCUUUUUACUUA